UACGGAGGGAGCUAGCGUUGUUCGGAAUUACUGGGCGUAAAGCGCGCGUAGGCGGCUUUGUAAGUUAGAGGUGAAAGCCCGGAGCUCAACUCCGGAACUGCCUUUAAGACUGCAUCGCUUGAAUCCGGGAGAGGUGAGUGGAAUUCCGAGUGUAGAGGUGAAAUUCGUAGAUAUUCGGAAGAACACCAGUGGCGAAGGCGGCUCACUGGACCGGCAUUGACGCUGAGGUGUGAAAGCGUGGGGAGCAAACAGG
rnacentral:rRNA from 1 species